AUUUAGAGAGUGAUUGGGUCUUGAGGCAAUGGGGCGGGUCCUGAAGUCAAUGACAGGGGAGGGAUUGGGCCCGGUGGCAGUAGGGGGUGGAGCUACGAGAGGGCAGGGAUCAGUUUGAGUGUUAGGCUCAUCACCAGCUGAGCUCAGGCUGUCUGAUGUCCCUGGGUCCUGUGGCUAACUUCUACCUGCCUCGGCCUUGCGGGGCCGGGUCUCUGGGAGAUGGCAACUCUUCCCUCCCGUGCGUGCUUCUUGGCCUCUUUCUACCCGCACCGUCUGCUCUUGGAGCAGGAUGAGGUGUUCUGUCUAGAAGUGCCUCCGGCGCCUCUGCGACCUGCUGGGCUGGACUUGCCUGGCGUGUCUGGAGCCCUGAGAGCAUCUUCCCUUCCCGGCCAAAGCCCGGAGGCUACUGGACUGCCUGGGAUUGGCUGAGAAUCUGGCCCCAUCCCAGUUCUCCUCCAUCUAUGUCCCGCGGCUUCAGUAUGGGUUUGUGCCCCCAAAACCCGAAAGGAAAUUUUCCCCGAUUCAUUUGGCUUUUCGUGGUUUCCCGAUCCCCAAGGAAGACGCAUCAGUUGUUUGUUUCUUCCCUCCCUGGAAGGAGCUGUGUCUCCGGAUCAAGACUGAUUAAAAAUGAUCACCAUAUGUCUUUUCACCUCAUUGGGGUCCUGUCUCAGCAGCACUUCUGGAGUUCCUAAUCAGCGGAGGUUUACAGUCUUUGGGACAAACUCCAACUGGACAAACUAUCCAGGAGGUGAAAGUCUUUGUGGUUUCUGCUGAGGCUUCAGACACAUCCAGCUAGCCUGAGGGAUCUCCACUUGACUUUGCAGAGG